GGAGCGAUGGCCGAGCGGUUGAAGGCGGCGGUCUUGAAAACCGUUGUGCUGAGAGGUACCGGGGGUUCGAAUCCCUCUCGCUCCGCUA
rnacentral:tRNA from 3 species